GCCCGGCCACGAAAUGGAGGAGGGGGCAGCAGUGCUCCGUGAGGCGGCUCGGUAUGGAGAGCCGCGGCUGUGGGCGGUGUAGGAUAGUAUGUCUUGCAAGAAACUGAAAGAGGAAAAGAUACUCGGGGGAAAAAAAAAAGUUCUUAAGUAGCCAUCAUUUAAGGCAAGAAUGAUGAGGAGGAGGAGAAUAAUAACAGAAUCCUUAAAAGCUGGAAGGCACCUCAGGAGAUCACCUUGCCCUCAUCCAGGUCGCUUUUGGACGCCUCCAAGGAGAAGGCAGCCUGCACUAGUGCUCCAUUACCUACAGAGCACAAAAGUGUUUCCUGCUGUUCAGAGAAACAGUCCUCCAGUGUGUGCUCAUUGCCUCUUGGCCUGGCACUGGACAUUAGUGAACAGAGCCUGGCUCUCUGCGCUCCCUUUGGAUAAUUAUGAACAUUGAUGAGAUAUUCCAUGAGCCUUCUUCAGUCUGAACAGUCACAGAUUUCAGCUCUCCAAGCCUCUCCUCAAAUGAGAGAUGCUCCUUUAUCUUCAUCAUUGGGGUCACGUUCUGCUUGACUGUUACUGGAAUGUCCAUGUCUCUCACGCUGGGGAGUCCAGAGUUAGACACAGGACUCCAGGUGCGGCCUCAGCAAUCCUGAGUGGAAGGAAGGAUCAUUUCUAUUGAACUGCUAUCAAUACUUUGCCUGAUUCAGCCAAGAAUGUCAUUAACCUUCUUGGUGGGAAGAACACAUUGCUGACUCACGUUCAGUGCAGUGUAAGGGACCCCUAGUUCCUUCUGUUAAGAGCAGUAUGUGAGAGAUUUAAUUCUGAGAUGCAGACAGAAAAAAAAAAUCUAUACUUGAAUUUAAAAUAAUAUUAACAUCUUUAUUAAGAUGCCUUUUUCUGUCAAGUAUGAAGAUGUUGCUGUGUGCUAAUCCUCACCAUUCUUAGGACAGUAUCAUGCUGUUACAAUAUGCCCAUAGUUAAAAAUGGCAUAAGGUAAGCAUCGCCACAAUGCACAGAAAGCAGUGUUACUCUGAUUUGGUUUAUGAGUCUGCUGUAGUCUAGAGAAAUUACAGGAUUUGUUAAAUUCUAAGUGAGCAAACUGAAGAGGGCUCUGCACAAGAAGCUGCAGCAGAACUCCCUCUGGCCUGUCUUUUUAUUCUUUUCCUCUCACACUUUUCAGGACCCUUCUAAAAAUUGUUUUUCAUCAUACCUGUAAAACUGAAGGACUGAGAAGAAGGGCAAAUUAGAUACAAAAAAAAGAAAUGUAGUAAAAAUGUUGAAAGUAAUACAAUACCAGCUCAGUUUUCAUAACUGUUUGCAUUUCUGUUCUUUUGUGUGAAAGUGUACUUUUUGAUAUGGCAUUAACAUGUCCUCUGAUUAAUCUAUACUAGACAAGCAUUUUCAAUGUAUUCCAAUCUGUUGAAUAAAUUCUUUUUAACAGUAA